CACAAGCCUGCGUGAGCUAAAAUGCGUGCCUUUCGGCCUCCUCUAUUAACACAGUGUUGGCUCUCCUGCCAACCACAACACACAGCUACUCAGAUUUCACAUUAAAUGUGAAAUAAUUCUUGUGUUGUUAAUGUAAGAAUAUAAGUAGUCUGGUAACAGUCAAAACCCACACCUUUUUCAUCCAGAGGAGCAAAGGAAUCAAUCACUGCCCAGACAAUGAAGUCACAUGUACAACAGAUAUUCAGCAGCAUAAAGAUAAGCGACAUCAUGUUCAUCUCUACAAAUUAUUUUACAUCCAUUAGUCACACGGUCUCUUUACGGAAAUAACUUUGCAUCAUAGUAAAGAGGGUCCAUGACAACUGGGAGCUCAUCCGGGAUGAAGACUUUUAUAUGUACAUGGAUUGAAAUCUAUGUUUUGGAGGAGCCUAAUCCAAAAAAACAAAAACGACUUUCUUGGGUCUAAUAAUCAGGUGGUGCAAAGAAGUGCCGUACAUGGAAUUAAGGGGAGACGAAACAAAACAGCAAAGUGUACUGACCACAUGAGUGAAGACCCACUAAAUAGCUUGGUUGAUUCCUUCAAUCCAUUGUUGAAUCAUUACUGAAGUUACAACUUACUAUGGCUUCAAGCAAUGGAAAUGUGGACCUAGAGCAGUGCACCAUUGAACAAAUCAACAAGUCUGUGUGUCAUUUAACUUAGUUCACCAAGUACAAAUGCCUUCUGAACUCAAUUGGUGACUUCUCUGAGGAGAAUCAGAAUUUGCUGAUUCGAUGAGUUGGAUUUCAUCUUGAUUGUGAUGCCAAAAUAUGUUUACAUCAUGAAGCAGAACUUCUCUGACAGGCUACAAAAUUUUCAUGUUCAUGUGUUGAAAAAUACAGACUGCAUGACUGUUGUUGAAGAAAGAAGAGUGGAAAUAGCUUGUAAUUUUAAAUUAAAUUGUAAUUCA